rnacentral:rRNA from 1 species
UACAGGGGGGGCAAGCGUUGUUCGGAAUUACUGGGCGUAAAGGGCGCGUAGGCGGCCUUCUAAGUCGAACGUGAAAUCCCCGGGCUCAACCCGGGAACUGCGUCCGAUACUGGAAGGCUUGAAUCCGGGAGAGGGAUGCGGAAUUCCAGGUGUAGCGGUGAAAUGCGUAGAUAUCUGGAGGAACACCGGUGGCGAAGGCGGCAUCCUGGACCGGUAUUGACGCUGAGGCGCGAAAGCCAGGGGAGCAA